UACGUAGGGUGCGAGCGUUGUCCGGAAUUAUUGGGCGUAAAGGGCUCGUAGGCGGUCUGUCGCGUCGGGAGUGAAAACUCAGGGCUUAACCCUGGGCCUGCUUCCGAUACGGGCAGACUAGAGGUAUGCAGGGGAGAACGGAAUUCCUGGUGUAGCGGUGGAAUGCGCAGAUAUCAGGAGGAACACCGGUGGCGAAGGCGGUUCUCUGGGCAUUACCUGACGCUGAGGAGCGAAAGUGUGGGGAGCGAACAGG
rnacentral:rRNA from 1 species